rnacentral:lncRNA from 10 species
ACUCGGGCUCGCCGGGACUCGCGCUCUCCCGGGACUGGCUCCCCUCUCUGCAAGCCGGGACUUGCCGCCGGUGUCCCUGAGGGCUCGCAGCUGUAACUCGAACACGCUGGAACCGACUCCGGCGAGCCGGCUGCCUUCUCGAGACGUUCCUCCUUGCCCGGGCCGCCCGCGGGCCAGGUGAUCACCCCGAGUGUGGAGCAGGCCCGGGGGAGCUUGCGUAUGCCUUGAUCCAACCAGGUCACCCAGGGUUUUAUUUCAGGUCAUUUGGUCAUCCUCGGCCUCCAGGUAGGAUCAGGAAGCCACUCCUCACCUUUGCCCGGACCUCUUCUGUGUUCACGUAGAGUGGACUUUUAAAAGCCUGACCCAAGUGCCUCACGAUGCUUAGGGGGAAGCCGCUGGGGAGCAGGACUUUGCUUUGAGGGGAGGGAGUAGUCAAGGUAAAGGAACCUCUGCUCCGAGUGCCAAUAAAAUCCCCACAAGAUUA